CCCCGGCUGAGGUGAGAAACCUCCCUUGUGUUUCUGACUGUGCAGUGACGCCCUCCCUACCCCAGGCCUCUGGAGCCUUUGGAGCAGAAAGAUCCCAGGAGCAGAGGAGGAAUCCAGGGGCAUCCUACUAGAUUACCAGUUGCCUUUCAACUGCAGUGUGGAGACUGUUCGUGUGCGGGGAGAGACAGUGUGUGUGUUGAGGUAGGUAAGACCGGAUCAUUAUUAUCUCUGCUUGAAAGAGGGAGAAGCUAAGGCUGAGAAAGGAGAAUUGAC